rnacentral:rRNA from 1 species
GCGGAGGGAUCAUUACCGAGUUAUUCAACUCAUCAACCCUGUGAACAUACCUAAACGUUGCUUCGGCGGGAAUAGACGGCCCCGUAAGACGGGCCGCCCCCGCCAGAGGACCCUUAACUCUGUUUCUAUAAUGUUUCUUCUGAGUAAAACAAGCAAAUAAAUUAAAACUUUCAACAACGGAUCUCUUGGCUCUGGCAUCGAUGAAGAACGCAGCGAAAUGCGAUAAGUAAUGUGAAUUGCAGAAUUCAGUGAAUCAUCGAAUCUUUGAACGCACAUUGCGCCCGCCAGUAUUCUGGCGGGCAUGCCUGUUCGAGCGUCAUUACAACCCUCAGGCCCCCGGGCCUGGCGUUGGGGAUCGGCGGAGCCCCCCGUGGGCACACGCCGUCCCCCAAAUACAGUGGCGGUCCCGCCGCAGCUUCCAUCGCGUAGUAGCUAACACCUCGCGACUGGAGAGCGGCGCGGCCACGCCGUAAAACACCCAACUCUUCUGAAGUUGACCUCGGAUCAGGUAGGAAUACCCGCUG